UUACGGCCAUAUCACUUUUAAACACCGGAUCACGUUAGAUCACCGAAGUUAAGCAACGUCGAUCCUGUUCAAUACCUAAACUAGCGACCACUUGCGAAUAUCAGGUACUGUAAU